rnacentral:rRNA from 1 species
UACGUAGGGUGCAAGCGUUAAUCAGAAUUACUGGGCGUAAAGCGUGCGCAGGCGGUUAUGCAAGACAGAUGUGAAAUCCCCGGGCUCAACCUGGGAACUGCAUUUGUGACUGCAUAGCUAGAGUACGGUAGAGGGGGAUGGAAUUCCGCGUGUAGCAGUGAAAUGCGUAGAUAUGCGGAGGAACACCGAUGGCGAAGGCAAUCCCCUGGACCUGUACUGACGCUCAUGCACGAAAGCGUGGGGAGCAAACAGG